AAUUGUGAAUCAUGCAUCACUUGUAUGAUCAUCAAUUUAUCUCUCUAGAAAUAACAUAGAUAUGUUUUUAGUGCAAACAGAGUACAUACGCUACUGUUUCAAUAGAGGGUUUCAAGGUUUUCAAGUUGGUGUUUUCAACUUCAGAGGCAAUCAUUGUUUUCACGGCUGCUUCCUCAAUAAAUGCAUAAGAUGUGGCACAAUUUUGGACAAAACGGCAAUGUAUUGUUUUACUGAAAUCAAGAUUUUGACGGGUGCCCUUUGAAAAAGCGGAGAAGUUCAGCUGGUCUGAGGUCCAAUAUCAUUCCAACCUUUGUCGAGGUGUAGUUCUUCUGAUCGUUCACAUUUUUGAAGUGGAGCCACUCGCCAAACCUCGCACGACGGAGCAUCCAGGGUCUUAAGGAUGACCCAAUGAUAAGUCAGCUUGGAUCCUCCCAUCCAUGAAGAUUCGCAGAACUCUGGAAAGAUUUGACCUUCGCUAUGCUACCGAAGCCAGCCGUCGAAUCAUUCUACAUUUUUUCAUAUAACUAUGAUCAAGUUCAGAAUGGUUUCAGUUUCAAGGAGUGACCUGACACUUCAACUUUUCUUUGGCAAUGCAUAAUGCUUGAGUGGACAAUGGUUGAGAGGAAAACCGAAACAUAA